CCUACGGGUGGCAGCAGUGAGGAAUAUUGGUCAAUGGGCGCGAGCCUGAACCAGCAAAGUCGCGUGAGGGAUGACGGCCCUACGGGUUGUAAACCUCUUUUGCCGGGGAGCAAAGGGCGCCACGAGUGGCGCCACUGAGAGUACACGGAGAAAAAGCAUCGGCUAACACCGUGCCAGCGGCUGCGGUAAUACGGGGGAGUGGAGCGUGAGCCGGCUUUGGUGGGUUUAAAGGGUCCGAGGGCGGUUCGUUAGGUCAGAGGUAAAAUUGAGGGGCUCAACCCCUUACCGCCUUUGAAACUGGAGCGCUUGAGUGGAAGAGAGGUAUGCGGAAUGCGCGAUGUAGCGGUGAAAUGCAUAGAGAUCGCGCAGAACCCCAGUGGCGAAGGCAGCAUGCCGGCUUCCAACUGACGCUGAAGCACGAAAGCGUGGGGAUCGAACAGGAUUAGAUACCCUGGUAGUC
rnacentral:rRNA from 1 species